CUCGCAUACUCCCUAAAAGGUCAUGCUUUACUCAUCUCAUAUGUAUAUACAGUAUUCUCUUCUACUGUAGGUCUCUCUCUCUCCCUGUAUUCUCUUCUACUGUAUCCCUGUGGCAUAGCUAUGUCUCUCUCCCUGUGGCAUGGCUAUGUCUCUCUCCCUGUGGCAUGGCUAUGUCUCUCUCUCUCUCUCCCUGCGGCAUAGCUAGGUCUCUCCCUCUCCCUGUGUAUAGCUAUGUCUCUCUCCCUGUGGAAUAGCUAGGUCUCUCUCUCUCCCUGUGGAAUAGCUAGGUCUCUCUCUCUCCCUGUGGCAUAGCUAGGUCUCUCUCUCUCCCUGUGGCAUAGCUAGGUCUCUCUCCCUGUGGCAUAGCUAGGUCUCUCUCCCUGUGGCAUAGCUAGGUCUCUCUCCCUGUGGCAUAGCUAGGUCUCUCUCUCUCCCUGUGGCAUAGCUAGGUCUCUCUCUCUCCCUGUGGCAUAGCUAGGUCUCUAUCUCUCCCUGUGUAUAGCUAGGUCUCUCUCUCUCCCUGUGUAUAGCUAGGUCUCUCUCUCUCCCUGUGUAUAGCUAGGUCUCUCGCUCUCCCUGUGACAUAGCUAUGUCUCUCUCCCUGUGGCAUAGCUAGGUCUCUCUCCCUGUGGCAUAGCUAGGUCUCUCUCUCUCCCUGUGUAUAGCUAGGUCUCUCGCUCUCCCUGUGACAUAGCUAUGUCUCUCUCCCUGUGGCAUAGUAGGUCUCUCUCUGUACCUGUGGCAUAGCUAGGUCUCUCCCUGUGGCAUAGCUAUGUCUCUCCCCCUCCCUGUGGCAUAACUAUGUCUCUCUCCCUGUGGCAUAGCUAGGUCUCUCUCUCCCUGUGGCAUAGCUAGGUCUCUCUCUCUCCCUGUGGCAUAGCUAGGUCUCCCUCUCUCCCUGUGGCAUAGCUAGGUCUCCCUCUCUCCCUGUGGCAUAGCUAGGUCUAUCUCUCUCCCUGUGGCAUAGCUAUGUCUCUCUCUCUCUCUCCCUGUGACAUAGCUAGGUCUCUCUCUCUCCCUGUGUAUAGCUAUGUCUCUCUCUCUCCCUGUGGAAUAGCUAGGUCUCUCUCUCUCCCUGUGGAAUAGCUAGGUCUCUCUCCCUGUGGCAUAGCUAUGUCUCUCUCCCUGUGGCAUAGCUAUGUCUCUCUCCCUGUGGCAUAGCUAUGUCUCUCUCCCUGUGGCAUAGCUAUGUCUCUCUCCCUGUGGCAUAGCUAUGUCUCUCUCCCUGUGGCAUAGCUAUGUCUCUCUCCCUGUGGCAUAGCUAUGUCUCUCUCCCUGUGGCAUAGCUAGGUCUCUCUCCCUGUGGCAUAGCUAGGUCUCUCUCUCUCCCUGUGUAUAGCUAGGUCUCUCGCUCUCCCUGUGACAUAGCUAUGUCUCUCUCCCUGUGGCAUAGCUCGGUCUCUCUCUCUCCCUGUGGCAUAGCUAGGUCUCCCUCUCUCCCUGUGGCAUAGCUAGGUCUCUCUCUCUCCCUGUGGCAUAGCUAGGUCUCUCUCUCCCUGUGACAUAGCUAGGUCUCUCUCUCUCCCUGUGACAUAGCUAGGUCUCUCUCUCUCCCUGUGUCAUAGCUAGGUCUCUCUCUCUCCCUGUGUAAUAGCUAUGUCUCUCUUCCUGUGGAAUAGCUAGGUCUCUCUCUCUCCCUGUGGAAUAGCUAGGUCUCUCUCUCUCCCUGUGGCAUAGCUAGGUCUCUCUCUCCCUGUGACAUAGCUAGGUCUCUCUCUCUCCCUGUGACAUAGCUAGGUCUCUCUCUCUCCCUGUGUCAUAGCUAGGUCUCUCUCUCUCCCUGUGUAAUAGCUAUGUCUCUCUCCCUGUGGAAUAGCUAGGUCUCUCUCUCUCCCUGUGGAAUAGCUAGGUCUCUCUCCCUGUGGCAUAGCUAUGUCUCUCUCCCUGUGGCAUAGCUAUGUCUCUCUCCCUGUGGCAUAGCUAUGUCUCUCUCCCUGUGGCAUAGCUAUGUCUCUCUCCCUGUGGCAUAGCUAGGUCUCUCUCCCUGUGGCAUAGCUAGGUCUCUCUCUCUCCCUGUGUAUAGCUAGGUCUCUCGCUCUCCCUGUGACAUAGCUAUGUCUCUCUCCCUGUGGCAUAGCUCGGUCUCUCUCUCUAUCCCUGUGGCAUAACCAUGUCUCUCUCCCUCCCUGUGGCAUA